CAGUCCAGGGUUACCAUGUCUAGGGAUUUUCCCCGAAUCUAGGGAUUUUUUGAAGCUUUUUCAGCUCUGGAAGGAUUUUUUUUGAAAUCUAGGGAUUUAUUAAACUGUGCUGGCGCCAUUUUUUGUUGUUAUUAAAUAUCUUUUUGUUCAAAUAUUAUUAUUAUUGUCAUUAUUUAUUGUUUCCUGACAUAAAUAUUCCUAAGUAAACAUUAAAACAUUACCUAAUCAAUGAUUAAAGUGGAUUAAACAUAGUGUUUAAUAGGUUAUAAAUUCAAUUGACAGCUGUCAUCUGUCAAUUUCUUCUUUUUUAGGUCAAAUUAAUACGAUUUAGGGAUUUCUAGGGGAAAUUGAAGUUCCCGUCUAGGGAUAUUCUGAAAUUUCAUCUGGCAACCCUGGAUCAGUCUAGUUUGAUCAAAUUUUCUGUAUUAAGAGUUGUCUAACUUGUUUGAACUUAAUCUAAUCCACAAUGAAAAUUGAAAAUGAAAUGAAAAGGCUGGAGUGAGGAGUGCUGAAGGGAGUUGUGACUUUACUUUGUUGUCAAGUACUAAGUAGGGCACCUAUUACCACUGUUCGAGCAUAUCAGGCAGAAAAAAUAGAAAAGAAAGAAUGUAGGCUAGCUGGACUUUUUCCAUGAAAUGAAAGCCCUAAUAAAAACUAAAUUGUGUACAAGAAGACAUUGGGAAAAAUACAUCUAUGAGUGAAAGCAUCAACGAACAGAUUAAUUGCUUUACGCUAUGUAGGCACAGGGCUCACAUUAAAAAGGGUAAGCUUUUCCACGACAAUUGCAUAUAAUUUUUCUAAAUUAGCAAUAAAUUUAAUAGCAAAUGGCAGUUUUCACAUUGUCUAGAAGCUAUGGAUGGAAACAUGGUGAACUUUCAACCUCUCAGAAGGGAUACUAUAGAAAUUAUAAAGGAACUGACAGCCAUUACUUUUUGCUGUAUUAUAUUAUGCAGAUGGUCAAUUUCUUAUUGCAGAUAUAAGAAGAAAUGAUCCAAAUAUAUCAGAUUUGAAUUUCAGAUUUUUUAAUAGCUAUUGGUGCAGUUAGCAACAUUCGGCUGUGAAUAAGUUUAAAAUGUAAAUUAUUUUAGUGCGUUUUUAGUUAAACCUUAUUGUAUAUUUGAAGAUUUACAAUUAUUAUUACACUGAUAAUUAAUAUAA